AAACAGCGUCGCUCCACGAAACCAUCGCUGCGGUUGCGUGCUCGCGCGAAGAAGAGGAGAGAGAGGACCAAACCCUCGUCUCCUCCUCCUCCGGUGGUGGGGGGAGAGGAGGCGGCGGCGGAGAGGACGAGCCGUCUACUGGAUCGGCCGCCCACGAGGAGAGAACAUAUAAGUUCUACAACCUCGGUUUAUCCUUAGAAGCAGAAAUGUUCAAUAUGUCAAAGGUACAACUCCGUGUCCUUUGCUUUGAAAUUCAACAUCACUUGCACAACAUGUCUUCUGCAUCUUCAGGCUAUAGUGAGAUUCGGCUUCCACAAUAACCCACGACCUUGAAAGCUGUUAUUAAGAUCUAUUAGAGUUGGACACAAUCUUUGGAACAUGAUUCAGUUAUGUUGUGUGUUUGACUCCACAUUUGGGACACGCGGGAAUUAGGUUGGGUAAGCAAUUGCCAUUUCUUCCAAUAAUCUGAUGGUCAGGUAUUCAGGUACUAAUUGAUUCUUCCCUGUAAUGGAGAGUUUUAUUUUCCUUGAUUUACCAAAAUCAAGCUUACAUUAAGGUGUAACAAAUGGGUGUUUUGGGCUCCAUAAUCAUUUUGUUGAUGCUAAAUGCUGACUACUGGUGCAGCAAAUGGAAGAGCUCUUCCAGUUGAUAUAUGCCAUUUGAGGACAUGUGCUUUGUCCUCAGUAUAAGAACAUUGGCCUAACAUCAUUGUUGGAGUUGCAUUGCCCUUAGAGUGGGGAAAGCGACACCUCUUGCAAGAUAGUAACAGCAAUUAUAUCAUAAAUUACAAGUCAGGCCUUCCAAUGUGGUUUUGGAUGAGGCAAUUGAUACAUUGUCAUUUGAUGCUGAAUUUUUUGUUCGUCUGACGACUGGAAAGGGGGCACCUACGACGAUUAGCUUAGUACUUAGUGAUGGUGUAUGAAGAGCAUUGAUAGUCUCAUGGCCCAUUGCUAACAUGUAGAGAAGGAUUUUGAGUUCCUUGGAAGUAUUGACUGGAGGAGUGUGAACUACUUCGCAAAUAGAUGGGUGUAAAAUCUGGGAAAGAAAACUUAAAGAGCUAAAUGUUUUCUACCAUAUUAGUUGAUCUGAAGGUGCUUUCCAAGUCAAAAUCAGCUUAGCAUAUAGAAUUGACUUGGUGAUGGCGGUACCUGGACCCUUGAAGCAGCAGUUCAGAACUGAUUGCACUGAGUAUUUUCUCUGGAGAUAUCCAUUUGAUGGAGGUGGAAGGAAAGAGAGGCUAGUCAAUAGUAGGUCAACUGAUGGUGUUUGAAACAAGAUGCACUUACUCAUAAGCAGAAUAAACAAGCACAACAAUGCCAUGAAGGGAACCUUAGCAAUGCCGUACAUCUGGCAUCAUUUAAAACGGGGCUUGUUCCACUGUUAUACUAUGACCAUCCGCCUUGAUGGUUUUGCCUGGCUAUUCUGAAGCUAUUAGUUAGCGUUACACCUUUUAAGUUUUACACAUCCAGUGUUGUUCUUUUGUUUUUCUAAUAUUAUGUACAGAUAUCUCUCCCACAUGUCAUAGCUCAAUAUGACAAGGGCUUUAUCCUUUUCCAUGUAAAUAUUUGAGAUUCAGUCAGAUUCUUAUACUUGCUACUUGCUAGAAUGUGAAUGAUAACUGUACUGUUGGAAGAGUGUUGUCAUACAUACAAAUUAGUUAUAAAUUUGUUUCUACUUU
rnacentral:sRNA from 1 species